CUUAUUUCUUUGGAGAUGGGACACAUCACGAGGAGAGAAAGAAAACAGGAACAAAAAACAGAAAAUUCAAACAUCUAGAAAACACGGUAACAAAGUCCAGUAAAUGACAGUCCAUGGAACUUCUCAACCGGAAACAAACUUCAAAACGGUAACGGAACCUAACCAUCUUAAGCGAAACACACCGGGAACAGGUGAGGACUAUCGAGCAACACCGAAUCAAGCUGUGAAAACAUAAAGAACAGG